GGAAGUGCCUCGCGACGCGGGGCCGCCACCGCCGCCGGGCCGAGGGAGGGCCCGGCAACCGCCGCCUGCGCGCCGGCUGCCCCUCGGCUCCUGGGAGCCGCGGCGCUACGGGCCUGCCGAGCACUCGGGCGGGCGCCGAGCAGGCUGGGCCCCGGCGCAGUGGCCUAGCCUGGACCGCAAGGCCGAAGCCGCCUCCGGGCCGCGUCCCGGUGUUUCGGGUUGUGUAACCUUGGCCAAAAUGCUUAAGCUUUUUUCCUGGCUGCCAAAUGGGGCCGAUCGUCUGACCUGCUGCCUCCGGAACUUGAGGGAUCAGAUCAAAUAACCCUUUCCUGGCGCUCGUCUGCCGCUGUGAAUGAAUCACGGGCUCCUGUAAUCACCGUUAGGAGAGAUUGUUAAACUCGUACAGGGUUGGAUGUUUUAAAGUUACUGAAUAUUUACUGGACCCCUACUGUUCAAUCAAGACAUGCUAAGUUAGCUUGCCAUUCUUGUUCAUUUAUGUGUUUACUUAACUAUUUCUGGGUCUCCUCUUCCCAGUCAUAAAUAUCUCUUGGAGUGUAAGCUCCUCGGAGCAGAGAUCCUGUUUCCGUAUUUCCUGUACCUAGAACAGUGCCAGAUCCGUAGUAGACACUGAAACAAAAAAUCUUUAAAAAAAAAAAAAUAUACGAAUGUGGCACCACCAUUUACACAGGCCACUAAGCCAAAAAUCUCGAACUUGUCAGAUUGUCUCUUCUCAGCCAUCAGCAGUCAACAAGUUCUAGCAUUUGGUCUCUUAAAAGUGGUUCAAGAGUUUAUUUUUCCUCUCCUUCCUCUGCCAGUACCAACCAGUCUUCCGUAUCACUAUGUAUUGCAAGAGUCUCACAAGAAGAUAUCCAUCACUGACUGAUCUUCCUCCCGUUUAACAUCCCCAACAGGUGCCAGGGUGAUGUUUUUUUUAUUCUAAAAAGAAACCAGAUUAUAUCGCUCACUCCCUUGCUUAAAACAGUUCUUCAAUGUUAGGUAAAUAAAUCAUGGAGUCACCACGAGGGCGUUCAUCUGCCAGGCACUAUUCUGAACGAUAUUGGCUCAUUAAAUUCUCACAGAAACCCUAUGCAGCAGGGCCCUUGUGACUGGACCUCAUGCCAAACAACUCGUUACAAAAAGAGCUAGGGUUCCAGACUGCGCCGAAGCUUCAUGAGACCUCUCCUUGUCUGCAUGGACGAGUGGCCAACUCUGGAGCCCAGGCUGUUGCUUCCCAGUCUGGUGGUGAAUCCUCCAUAGUCUGGUGAGUGUAAAUACAUAUAUAUAUCUUUUCCCUUCUCCCUUCCCAUUGCAAUUUGCUUAUUAUAUCAUUUGCUUAUAUCUGCACUGCCAUUUGGGAUAAAGCUUGUUUACCCUUAAAGGUAUUGUGUGUGUGUCUCCUCCCGCGCGCAUUUCCCACACAGAACACCUAAGAACCUAUUUUUUAUGAUUUUUACGAGAAGUGAAUUCCAAGUUGUGCCUCAGAAUUCAGAAUAUAUCUUUCAACCUCCUACUCAUCCCCUCACCACCCUGGUGAACACAGUGUCUGGCCAGCAGGAAUGAAUGAAGAAGACUAUUUUAUGUUCUUAAUAACUUGCUUGGAAAUGAACAGAGCACAAUUUAUCAAACCAAAGCAAAUAUUUAUACAGGCAGAUCCCUUAAAAUUGAGGAUUAAUGCUUAGGAAGAAUUUUUUAGAAUUUUCCAAAUUAACCACUUGUCUUUCUCAGAAAUAAAUCUGUUACUGAUGCUUCCUCCACCAACCAGCUGCAAAACCACACACUAUUCUUUGAAGGAGGAACACAGAAAACCAACUUACUUCCUGGGGCAUUUGGGAGAGGAAUCUAAAAAUCCUAGUGAUAUGGCAAUGACUAGAACCUUUUUUUUUUUUGUAACAACAAAGCUAAAAGGGGAUGUGUAACUUAGCUUGACUUGUAAAAAUAUUCGUAGAAGUCAUCUAUAUUUUACCACUUUGUGUAACUAAGGCAGAGCAUUAGAGAUUAUUCACAUCAUUAAAUAUGUCCAGUUAAAUUAUUAGAUUACAACACCAACCUCUUGUUCAUAGUCUCUCAGUCUUCAGCUGGGCACGGGGGCUCACGCCUGUAAUGCCACCACUUUGGGAUGCCGAGACGGGCGGAUCACUUGAGGUCAGGAGUUUGAGACCAACCUGGGCAACAUGGUGAAACCCCGUCUCUACUAAAAAUACAAAAAUUAGCUAGGCGUGGUGGCAGGUGCCUAUAAUCCCAGCCACUCGGGAGGCUGAGGCGGGAGAAUCACUGGAACCCAAGAGGUGGAAAUUGCAGUAAGCCAAGAUGGCACCACUGCACUCCAGCCUGGGUGACAAGAGCAAAACUCUUGUCUCAAAAAAAAAAAAAAAAAAAUAGUCUCUCAGUCUUCAUACUUUGUUGCUUAGUUGGAUUAUCUGCUCCUAGGUUUUAAUAUAAGAUGAAAUAAAAGUGCUGGCCUAGGAAUUGGAGGCCAAUUUACCUUAGGGGCAAAGGCAAUGGUGGUGAAUAUACCCAACAGCUUCACUUUCUAUGGAGCCAGCUUGUAAAAUCUUGGGCAAGGAUGGUGGCAGCAGAGCUGUCUGCCUAAGCAUCAUGUAGAAAAUUUUUUAAUGGUUUCUUUGGACCCUAGCUUGCAGUGUCAUUUCUGCUUCUCAUUGUAUUGGAAAUCCAUGGUUUUGUUACAUAAUGUACUCCUAAAAAUGUAUACACAUGUGUUGAGUAUGUGGAAGUUGAAUAUAUUUAUGUUAUAAAUGAGCAGUUCUGUUUCUGGAAAAUGAAAAUUUUCACCUCAUCACUACAGACAUUCUUUGAUAACACAGUCCCAGUGUUUCAUCCAGAUUAUUUCAUUUUCUUCUUUUACAUAUAACCAACCAUUUUGGAUGUUAAAGGAACAACCAGUGAGGGCUUAAGAUCUGCUGCUUUUGACUUGGCACUCCUGAUCAGUUCCAUCCGUGUCUCAAGUGUAUCACAUUCACGAGACAAGGCUUCUCAUCAGCAAUUUCAAUUUUAUGUUUUCUACUUAUUUUUAUAUAAGAAUACAAUGCAACAAAAUAUUCAUAUAUUGCAC
rnacentral:lncRNA from 1 species